AUAAAAUUUCAAUGUCUAAUUUUUUGCAUUCCACUUAGAAUACAUUUUUUAAAUUUAAAUAUCUUUUAUCGUGCUUCAUGGUUGAUUUGAAACUAUUUAAAGAUGCAUAAGUUUGUAAUGCUAAUAAUGUUUUCUUUUAUCUGUUUUUAGCCCCGGCACAGUUUCACCAAUUCCAACCGCAAUCACUUCUGGCGGCAACUACCCAGCCGCAGUUUUCUUUCAAAACAUCAAAGCGCAGCGGUCGUCUACUGUUGGUGGUAAAUGGAGUCACUUUUUUUCGCAAUCGACACCGCAAUACGAAACAAUACUGGAAGUGCAAUCAGUACUACAAAUGCAAAUGUCCCUGUAUAGUUGUGAUAGACGAAGUGAACUCGCGCAUGAACAUGAAGCACAUGCAUAACCAUGAUAUCAAUAACGGUGGUGGGACUGGUUUGAAUUUUGGGGCACCUUCAUCUUUACUACCGGGAGCAGCGCUGCUGAGUGAGAACAUGCUAGCCGUCUCCGCGGCUCCUUCGGGCAGCGGAAGUCAUUACGACAGCAUGGGCGGCCCCAGUGCUAGUCUGUUAAGAGUUCCAUCCGUACUUAAUGCUACGUACGCUCAAAGUGUACCCUCCCACAGGUUGUUUCUUACCAAGAGAGAAUAAAUACUAUAUAUUGGCUGGCUAAUUUUGAUUUUCGCGUUUCAUUAUAACUGGUGUUCAACACCAGAUGUCACUGACUGAUCAAAUAUUCUAACGUUCUCAAACAUUUUUCAGGUGCGGAGUUCACACGGAUCAUUAGCACCAAAUUAGAUCCGGACGUACCGCUUGAGGUGGCCCAGUUCGGAGUUUCACAGCGGGGUGCCAAAAAACUCCUCUACCAUGGCUUCGAAUACGUCAAGGAUAGAGAUUUUUCCGAUUCUACCAACUGGCGCUGUUCGUUGUUCAGGCGGCGUCUGUGUCGAGCUCGGGCUAUCACUAAAGAAAUUCACGGGAUCACCUACGUCCGAUUAACCAACGAUGCCCACUGCCAUUCGGUUUCUGAGUACCGCAAGACGCCCGUAAUGCUCCGCAGGCCCAGAAAUGAUAACUGAAUCACUCACAGUGCAAAUUUUAUACGUGAUAUACAAAAGCAUCCCCUAAAUGUAUGAGAUUUUAGUAAAAUUGAAAAGUUUUUUUGUCUUUCAUUUUUUAAUGUAUCUUCGAACCGGCAGUUUUCGGAACGACCCGCCGCGGACAGCAGAAACUUAUGCACGGAGGUCACGCCUACACCAAGGAUCGGCAGUCGGCUCGCACCUGCAACUGGAAGUGUUCGCUGUUUACGCGGUUCAAAUGUAAAGCACGCGCCAUCACCCGGGAAAUCAACGGGAUAAUUUACGUCAAGGUGACUAACUCGAUGCACUUCCACCCGGUGGGUCAAUACAAAAUGAAUUUCCGACGGAUGAAUCCGGCCACCGACAAGCGCAUCGUGCCCGAAAAUGAGCUCAGUGGACUGUUUGUGCCACCGGGAUAAAUAUUUUUGAAAUGCUGUGGACAAAAAUGUAAAUAAAGCGCUUUGAAUGAGUUCGCUCUUUUCUGUA